rnacentral:rRNA from 1 species
CGUGACCCUAGGUCAGGUGGGAUCACCCACUACGUUUAAACAUAUCAAUAAAUAGAGAAAAAAAAACUUACUAAGGUUCUCUUAGUAACAACGAACAAAUCGAUAAGAGCCCAGCUUGAGAAUCAAGUGCCCUCGACGUCCGAAUUAUAGUCUGGAGAAGCGUCCUCAGUGACGAACUAGGCCUAAGUCCCCUGGAAAGGGAUGUUGAAAAAGGUGAGAGCCCCAUUAUGCUUGGACCCUGUCACACCAUAAUACGCUAUCCGUGAGUCAGGUUGUUUGGGAAUACAGCCCUAAUCGGGCAGUAAAUUUCAUCCAAGGUUGAAUAUGGGUGACAAACCAAUAGCAAACAAAUACUACAAGGGAAAGAUGAAAAGGACUUUAAAAAAAAAGUCAAAGAGUGCUUGAAAUUGUCGGAAGGGAAGCGGAUGGGGGUCGAUGAUGCACCCCUGUCAGAUGUGGAACAACGAGAGCCAGUCCACCGAUCAACUUGGCACAUGGAUCAACGUGGGUCACGACGAUAGCCCAAGCCUAAGCUUUUGAUAUACCUGUAGAGACAUCGUCACCAUGAUCAUGGAAUGCAGCACACAUCAUCUCAGUGUGCCCUAGCAUCGACGUGCUCCCAACAUCAGCCUACGGGCUCUUCAUCCAACCUAUCUUAAAAAAUGAACUAAGAAGUCGGACAUGUGUAUGAGUCAAUGGGCUAGAAAACCUGUAAAGUGUAAGAAAGCUUAUUGGCAGAAUCCCAUAUAGAUGCACCACCGAUCAACCUUGAUUUUUUGAGAAAGGUUUAAGUGCGAGCAUGUUUAUCGAGACCCGAAAGAUGGUGAACUAUGCCUGAGUGGGGCAAAGCUAAAGGAAACUUUGGUGGAAGCUCGUAACGAUACUGACGUGCAAAUCGUUCAUCUGACUUGGGUAUAAGAGUGAAAGACUAAUCGAACCGUCUAGUAGCUGGUUCCCUCUGAAGUUUCCCUCAGGAUAGCUAGAGCCCUUAGCGAGUUCUAUCGGGUAAAGCCAAUAAUUAGAGGCAUCAGAGGUGCCAUGCCUUUAACCUAUUCUCAAAAUUUAAAUAGGUAGGACAGCACGACUGCUUCGUUAAGCCACGCCAUAAAAUCAAGAGCUCUAAGUGGGCCAUUUUUGGUAAGCAAAAUUGGUGAUACAUGAUGAACUGAAAGUUGGGUUACGGUGCCUAACUACACACUAACCUAGAACCCACAAAGGGUGUUGGUUGAUUAAGACAGCAGGACGGUGGUCAUGAAAGUUGAAAUCUUUUAAGGAGUGUGUAACAACUCACCUACCAAAUCAACUAGCCUUGAAAUGGAUGGCACUUAAGCAUUCGACCUAUACCCGACCAUCAAGGUAAGGGCCAAACCCUGAUGAGUAGGAGGGCAUGACGGUCGCCGUAAAACCCAGGGCACCAAUCUGGGUGAAGUAGCCAUCGAUACAAAUCUUAGUGGUAGUAGCAAAUAUUCAAAUGAGAACUUUGAAGGUCGAAGAGGGGAAAAGUUUCAUUUGAACGGCACUUACCCAUGGGUUAAUCGAUCCAAAGAGAUGAGGGAAGCCCAUCCGACAGCGCGUCUAGCAUAAGCUUCAAAAGAGAAUCGGGUUAAAAUUUUUGAACUAGGAUGCGAUGGCUGACGACAACAUGAGGGAGUCCAGAGAUGUCGACGAGGGCCUUAAGAAGAGUUAUCAUUUCUGUUUAACAACCAGCCCACCUUGAAAAUGGCUUAACCAAAAAUAGGGUCUAGAGACCAAAAGAGCACUACAUGUGGUGUGGUGUCUGGUGCACCCCUAACAACCCUUGAAAAUCUGAAAGACUGAGUGUUGUCGGUGCCCGAUCAUACUUAUAACCAUGUCAAGUCUUCAAGGUAAACAGCCUCUGAUCGAUGGAACAAUGUAGGCAAGAGAAGUCGACAAAAUGGAUCUGUAAACUUAAGAAAAAGAUUGGCUUUGAGGGCUAGGCAUAGGGGUCCCAGUCCCAAACCUAUUGGCUACCGGUGCACUGCUCAAGCUACUCCUGCAGCGGAUAAAGUCAUUGCAUGCCAACUGAGGGAUGGACUAGGAACAGCUCCCUCAGGGGCCUUUCCAGGAUGAUGAAUAGUCGACUCAAAAUUGGCACGAACAAAGGGAAUCUAACUAUUUAAUUAAAUUAAAGCAUUGUGAUGGUCCUUACGGAUGCUCACACAAUGUGAUUUUUGCCCAGUGCUCUGAAUGUCAAAGUGAAGAAAUUUAACCAAGCGUAGGUAAAUAGUGAGAGUAAAUAUGAUUCUCUUAAGGUAGCCAAAUGCCUCGUCAUCUAAUUAGUGAUGAUCAUGAAUGGAUUAAUGAGAUUCCCAUUGUCCUUGUCUACUAUCCAACAAAACCACAUCCAAAAGAAUGGGCUUGGCAAAAUCAACAGGAAAAAAAGACCCUAUUAAGCUUGACUCUAGUCUGACUUUGUGAAAUGACUUGAAAGGUGUAGGAUAAGUGGGACCCUCGGGCAAAAUUGAAAUACCACUACUUUUAACAUUAUUUUACUUAUUCCAUGAAUUGAAGGUUUGGACCCAAGGCUGGCCUCUAUCGAUCGAUUUAGGGGAAAGACAUUAUCAGGUGGAAAGUUUGGCUAGGGUGGUACAUUUGUUAAAAGAUAACAAAGGUGUCCUAAAAUGAGCUCAACGAGAAAAGAAAUCUCGUAUGGAAUAAAAGGGUAAAAGCUCAUUUGAUUUUAAUUUUUGGUACAAAUAUGAACCAUGAAAACGUGGCCUAUCGAUCCUUUAAACCUACAAAAUUUGAAGCUAGAAGUGUAAGAAAAGUUACCACAGGGAUAACUGGCUUGUGGCAGCUCAGCAUUCAUAACGACGUUGCUUUUUGAUCUUUCGAUGUCGACUCUUCCUAUCAUUGUAAAGCAAAAUUCACCAAGUGUUGGAUUGUUCACCCACUAAAAAGAAACGUGAGCUAGGUUUAGACCAUCAUGAGAUAGCUUAGUUUUACCCUACUAAUGGCAGCAUCACGAUAGUAAUUCAACCUAGUGUGAGAAGAAUUAUUGAUUCACACAAUUGGUCAUCACGUUUGGUUGAAAAGCUAGUGGCAUGAAGCUACCGUGUGUGAAGCUAUCGUAUACGAUGAGGUAUUGUAAGUGGUAGAGU